ensembl:lncRNA
UGAGUCAUCUAUGUCCACACACCCAGCUGAUAAUAUGGCUACUGAUGAGCUUGAGACUACAAAUUCGACCAACGCUGCUUACUGUCUGGCUGCUCUUGAGCCUGAGUCCACUAAAUCCUCCAAUGCUGCUGACUGUCUGGCCUAUGUUGAGCCAGAGCCAGCUAUGUCCACCCACCGUGCCGACAGUCUGGCUGCUCUUGAGCAUGAGCUGUCUCAUGCCAACAAAGCUGCUGACUGUCUGGCUUCUCUCAAGGCUGAGCCAACCAUGUCCACCCAGCCUGCUGACAGUUCGGCAGCUGUUGAGCCUGAGCCUACAAUUUCCACCAGAGCUGCUGAUUGUCUGGCUACUGUUCUGCCAGAGCUAACUAGGUCAACCCACCCUGCUGACUGUCUGGACUCUGUUCAGCCUGAGUCAUCUAUGUCCACACACCCAGCUGAUAAUAUGGCUACUGAUGAGCUUGAGACUACAAAUUCGACCAACGCUGCUUACUGUCUGGCUGCUCUUGAGCCUGAGUCCACUAAAUCCUCCAAUGCUGCUGACUGUCUGG